rfam:Stegodyphus mimosarum contig53458, whole genome shotgun sequence.
GCCUUCGUGGUGUAAUGGUCAGCACACUGAGCCGGUAUUUCAGAGGUCCGUGGUUCGAUCCCCGGGCGAAGGAA